ACCUAUUUGCAUCCAUUUUUAAGAUGGAUGUUUUAUAUCUCUAAAUCGCAUAUUAUAGAAAUACGGUCCAGCCAGCAUAAAAAAAUUGUUCAAUGCUAAAAGCCCCAUCCUGUGUUAGAUUUCAGUGAGUAAAGAAUUUCUAAUCUGGAUUGAAAAUCGAUAGAAACAAUGCCGGUUCUUGUUAGGAAUCGACCAUUUAUCAAAUUAACAAGAUCUAAUAUAUUCAUAUAAUUGAACCUCCGUAGGAGAACUGAGCACUCCAGCUACCGCACCAAUCUUGAGUAAAUGAUUUUCCUUUUGCCAAAUCACUGAUCCAUUGGAUUUGAAUUGUUGAUCCGUAUGAUCCAGAUCUAUAUCACCGGGUGAUCAAAACAUCAAAUCCAAGACGCAUCAAUUCGAAAGAAGUAUAAAUUUGGGGGACAUUAAACCGUUCAUAAAAGUAAGGAAAAAGCUAACCAUAGCUGCGUAGCUCCAAAGAAUAGUAAUAUAUGUAGAAUCCCAGCCGUCGAAUCUUCAUCAUGUGAUUCAGAAUGUAUAUCACUAUAUGAAUUUUAAUAGUUUUUUCUAGAAAUCGGAUCAUAAUGAAAUUUUAGACGUAUGCACCAAAAAAUAGGGCGC
rnacentral:lncRNA from 1 species